CUUCUCUUUGUGUCGAGAGACUAAAGCCGUCACAGGAAACUAGAUUAAAACUGGAAAACAAGUCCUAACUGGUUCCAGCAAACACGUUCAACGUUAAGUGGGGGGUAUUUUCUAUGGUGGUUGGGCGGCUGGUGUGUCUUUUGCCUUUUGUUUGAUUUGACUGUGUAUUUUCGCCUUUUGUCUCUUAAUGACGAUCACACCAUUGCUAUAUCCAGAGCAGUAAACAGUCCUCAGCGAAGCUGCCUUUUUGCCUACCCAACCCUGGAAAGUUUGCAGAAGUGGAAGGAGCAGAACGUGAGGGUGUAACUUACAAAAAGCUUGAUCUUCUAGACUCCAUGGCACCGGGCUGAGCGGGUUCUGGGCCAGAGAAGGGGCGACAGCCGGGCACCCCCCGAAUGGACAAUUUUUCCUUCUGUCGACGGCAGGGGCAGGCCUAGUUUGACCCUGACAAUCCUCCCAUUAAGUCCCCAAAUGGGCAGGCCUGUAUAUAAGCCUUGUGUUUAGAACCGGACAAAGCUGGAUUUGAAACCUGGCGAGCCAUUGAACAGCUAUGGCCUUGCGAAUUCCUGGUGACUGGAAGGGGAGUGACACGGGUUCUCAACCUCUAACAGGUAAGGGAGCUGCCUCCUGGGUGGGCGUGCCCAGUUCCUCAGCGGGCCUAGCGCGGCCCAGCCUCCGAGGAAGCUCCGAGCAGCUGGCUUAGCUCCGAGGUAUUUUUAGCUACAGAUCCAGCCCCUUCCAUCACCACAACAGUCGAGUCCAAAUCAAACGCGCUCCAGGCAGGUGGGACUGGGGUUCUGCCAGCCUCCUGGCCAGCAGGGGUGGGUAGGCAGACUGGGGCCAGUAUCGGCUGUUCUGCCUGGGCCCAGGCCGGGCUGGGAAAGCACACUUGUUCUCAUUUCCGGCCUCCACUUUCGUGCCAGCUUGUGCUGUCAUAAGCAGAGGUUCACAGCCCCAUUUCUUGGAUGGAAAAAGUGGACACUGAGGUCUGAGGCUUUUGAGGACAGUCAGGAGCCCCCCUUUGGGCUCGAGUGACGCACUCACCAGCUUCUGGUCCUCUUCCUCCACCACCUGGAAUGCCUUGGCUACCUCCUGUGGUCCUAGGGAACCUCAGCCCCAGCCCUGCCUCCCCAGCCAGUCACAGCUCCUCCCUGGUCACCCUGGGGACCUCAGGGCCCGGCUGGUGGCUGUGCUCCUGUCCUAUCCCCCAGUCCCAUGGAGCCUGGCAGGCAACUCCUCCAUGAUCUGAACCCCGUUACCUUGACAGCCCUGCCUGGCCUCCCCUCUCAUGGCCCAGCCACCCCAGAACCUGAAGAGGUUUUCUAGCUGCCGUGCAUUUGUCAGGCCGGGUUACCCACCCUACUUUUCCUGCCUGCCCUCCAGUGCUGCCAAGCCCAGUGUGCCAGCCAGCACUCAGCCUUCUGUAAAGGGUUCCCCUCUCCCAACCUGACCUCCUGGAAAGCUGGAGCAUAACUGCCUCUCAAUAAACGUGUUGCGAAAAA
rnacentral:lncRNA from 1 species